UACAGAGGGUGCAAGCAUUAAUCGGAUUUAUUGGGCGUAAAGGGCGCGUAGGCGGACCUGUAAGUCAGAUGUGAAAUCCCGGGGCUCAACCCCGGAACAGCAUUUGAAACUACAGAUCUAGAGGGUAGAAGGAGAUAAUGGAAUUCCACGUGUAGCGGUGAAAUGCGUAGAUAUGUGGAAGAACACCGGUGGCGAAGGCGAUUUUCUAUUUUAUUCCUGACGCUGAGGCGCGAAAGCAAGAGGAGCAAACAGG
rnacentral:rRNA from 1 species